CUCUCAGUCGUUGCACCAAGAAAAUAUUCAACCAAGAUUACAUAUGAAGACUACAUUCUAUGACAGGUGCGUUGACCUAUACACAUCGUGUCGUUAUCACAGUUCAUAUUCAUCUGCUGCACAAUAAUUUUUUACAGAUCAGACGUGACCCGCCGAGUAAUUGGUCCACGUGCAGUUCGUUUUUUACAUUCCGUGGAAGCUUGGUUGUAGAACCUCGGACGGCACAUAGCUGGCGUCGAUCCUAGGACAGUCCAGGUAAGAGUGUCCGUCACAUUUCGAGAACAUUUCAUUCCCUGAAGUUCCAACCAAAAUUCUUCCACCCGUCGUGUUGUUUUCUGGACAGGCACUUUGUGUCCAUUUAAUCCAGUUAACAU